rnacentral:rRNA from 1 species
AACGUAGGUGGCAAGCGUUAUCCGGAGUUACUGGGCGUAAAGCGCACGCAGGCGGUCGAGUAAGUUUGGGGUGACAGCUCCCGGCUCAACUGGGAGAGCGCCUUGAAGACUGCGCGACUGGAGGGCCACAGAGGGACACGGAAUUCCGGGUGGAGCGGUGGAAUGCGUAGAGAUCCGGAAGAACACCGGUGGCGAAGGCGGCCCGCUGGGCAGUGGCUGACGCUGAGGCGCGACAGCUAGGGUAGCAAACAGG